rnacentral:rRNA from 1 species
ACCUCGGAUCAGGUAGGAAGACCCGCUGAACUUAAGCAUAUCAAUAAGCGGAGGAAAAGAAACCAACAGGGAUUGCCCUAGUAACGGCGAGUGAAGCGGCAACAGCUCAAAUUUGAAAUCUGGCUUCGGCCCGAGUUGUAAUUUGCAGAGGAAGCUUUAGGCGCGGCACUUUCUGAGUCCCCUGGAACGGGGCGCCAUAGAGGGUGAGAGCCCCGUAUAGUUAGAUGCCUAGCCUGUGUAAAGCUCCUUCGACGAGUCGAGUAGUUUGGGAAUGCUGCUCAAAAUGGGAGGUAAAUUUCUUCUAAAGCUAAAUACCGGCCAGAGACCGAUAGCGCACAAGUAGAGUGAUCGAAAGAUGAAAAGCACUUUGAAAAGAGGGUUAAAUAGCACGUGAAAUUGUUGAAAGGGNAAGCGCUUGUGACCAGACUUGCGCCGGGCAGAUCAUCCGGUGUUCUCACCGGUGCACUCUGCCCGGCUCAGGCCAGCAUCGGUUCUCGCGGGGGGAUAAAGGCCCUGGGAACGUAGCUCCUCCGGGAGUGUUAUAGCCCGGGGCGUAAUGCCCUCGCGGGGACCGAGG